UUUUUUCUAAGUCCAAAUCCCCAUUUCACAUAAACCCACACAUAACUACAGUCUUUUAACUCCACCCCCAUUCUGUGUCCAAAAACAACCACCGACUUCUCCCACUUCGGUUCAAAAUCACACAUUCCGGUCAUCCCUUACUUUCCAGCGAUCUGAAUAUGCCCAGCGCCCAUGGUCACAUUAGCUAGCAACCGUGCCAACAUCGAGCCUCAGAUCUUGUCGUUCAUGAGCGCAUCCCGCCUGCGUCACUGCCCCUAACCAUCAGAUCUGGUCAUCAUGCGCCUCGUCGAUCAAUUAAGAACUCAGUGAGCCCUACUCCAUCUUCACCUACCUACGUCGUCUAUCUCUACUCCCAAAUCUCCUUUUCUGUGUGUGUGUUUUCUGGCAUUCUAUAGAGGCAAAUGUGUGGGAACGGUGGUGGAAGAAGCAUCAGUAAAAAUAAAGAAAAGGCGAAGGGUAUGUGCGCCUUGUAAAAUACACUUUCUAAAAAAACCAUAUCUGGAAAAUCAGAAAUUGAAGUGGUGGUCGUAGAUGAGUGCAACUGAAGCUCAAGGAUAUUAGUUUGUUGGGUAUUUAUUUCAUUCUCUUUUUCAGUUUGAUUGGGCGGGGUGAGGUUUGGGUACCAUGGAAUACUUGAAAAUCUGAAAGUUAAGUACAGUGAGUGUUUAGCAAGGAGAAUUGAUGCUUGCUAAUUGCAAGUCUGUUUCAUUACUUAAUGGCUUGAAGUUAACCAGAUCUUACCGUCAACAGAUUGAAUGGAACUCUUUCAGAUUUUCAAAGCUUGCAGCGGGUGCAGAAUAUGUAAGUAUAUUACCUUAAGUUGUAAUAUAAACAUGGGGGCUUCCAUUUAUAUACAUUUGACUCUUUGUGCUUUAGAGGCAUAGAUUUAGAUUCAUGGAGUACUGGUAGAGUACCAACCUUCUCAUUCUUGGAAAUUAUCAUUGCUCGUUUGGUAUAAUGUAGUCGAGGCCUUUCAUAAAUGAGAUAAACAGAGACCGUAAGAGAGGGAGAAGAUGUGAAUAGUAGUUAUUUGAUUAUAAAUUUAUGUUUUCUUCUGUGUAAUUUUGUGUGAAGGGAUUGUUAUUAUUAUUAUUAUUAUUAGUAUUAUUAUUAUUA